rnacentral:rRNA from 1 species
GACGAACGCUGGCGGCGUGCUUAACACAUGCAAGUCGAACGGAAAGGCCCUGCUUUUGUGGGGUGCUCGAGUGGCGAACGGGUGAGUAACACGUGAGUAACCUGCCCUUUACUUUGGGAUAACUUCAGGAAACUGGGGCUAAUACCGGAUAGGAGCUCCUGCUGCAUGGUGGGGGUUGGAAAGUUUCGGCGGUUGGGGAUGGACUGGCGGCUUAUCAGCUUGUUGGUGGGGUAGUGGCUUACCAAGGCUUUGACGGGUAGCCGGCCUGAGAGGGUGACCGGCCACAUUGGGACUGAGAUACGGCCCAGUCUCCUACGGGAGGCAGCAGGGGGGAAUAUUGCACAAUGGGCGGGAGUCUGAUGCAGCAACGCCGGGUGCGUGAUGACGGCCUUCGGGUUGUAAACCGCUUUCGCCUGUGACGAAGCGUGAGUGACGGUAAUGGGUAAAGAAGCACCGGCUAACUACGUG